rnacentral:tRNA from 1 species
GAGGGCAUAGCUCAGUGGUAGAGUGUAGUGUUAGCAAGCAUGAGGUCCUGCCUGGGUUCAAUCCCCAGUACCUCCA